AAGUGCGCAGUUGAUGAAGAAAAUGAAGCGGUCUAAUAAACCCUCCGGUGCACAGGGACGAAAACGGAGAAAGGAAGAAGAUAAAAGGAAAACCCAGUAUAGAGGCCAGGAACACACAGCCUGCAUCAAGUGAAGGUGAAGGGACACCCAGGACCACAUCAAGCACUCAGGGCACCAGUGAAAGACAGACGACUGAGACCAGGGACACGCAGCCUGAAGGAAGUGAAGGGGCCACAUCUAACAUUCCAGGCCCCAGUGAAACACAGACCACUGAGACCAGGGAUACUCAGCCUGAAGCAAGUAAGACCCUUGAAUACUGUUUAUUCAACCACAAUUUAAAACUUCAGUGACUUGUUUCCAAGUAAACAUUGACAUUCCUCAUUAAUUAAUCUCAAACACUACUGGUCUAUUAUACUCUAUAUGCU